AAGGAGCUGACUGGGAAAA
rnacentral:miRNA from 1 species